AUCCCCCAGUGCAUGGGAGGCCGGCUCCUGGCUGACUGCUCAGGUCCGCCAGUGCGUGCAUCCUCAAGCUCAGCCUCUGCUUUGCUGCAUCCUGCAUUUUCCUUCCUGUGCACGGAACCUUAUGCCCCAGGAGUCUUACGUGCUUCCACAUAAGCCAUAACCCCCUAUGGGAUGGCAUUUUUGGAGAUAGAUACCUGAGAGAGAUUGUUGGACCAUAUGAAAGAUUUAUUUUCAGCAUUUUGAGCAACUUCCAUGCUGUUUUCCGGAAGGCCAGCUAGUGCACAGAUCGUGAAAAUGGCAAAAUACAAACAAGCUUCUUUGUACUGACAGUGUCUGAGACUAA